UACGUAGGGGGCAAGCGUUUGUCCGGAUUUAUUGGGCGUAAAGAGCGUGUAGGCGGCUUUACAGGUCCGUUGUGAAAACUCGAGGCUCAACCUCGAGACGCCGGUGGAAACCGUAAAGCUAGAGUCCGGAAGAGGAGAGUGGAAUUCCUGGUGUAGCGGUGAAAUGCGUAGAUAUCGGGAGGAACACCUGUGGCGAAAGCGGCGCACUGGACCACAUCUGACGCUGAGGCGCGAAAGCUAGGGGGAGCAAACGGG
rnacentral:rRNA from 1 species